rnacentral:rRNA from 1 species
GACGAACGCUGGCGGCGUGCUUAACACAUGCAAGUCGAACGGAAAGGCGCUGCUCUUGUGGGGUGCUCGAGUGGCGAACGGGGGAGUAAAACGCGAGUAACCUGCCCUUGUCUUUGGGAUAAAAUCUGGGAACUGGGGCGCUUAUAGCAUAGGAGAUCCUGAUGCAUGGUGGUGGUUGGUAAGUUACGGCGGUUGGGGAUGGAAUCGCGGCUUAUCAGCUUGUUGGUGAGGUAGUGGCUUACAAAGGCUUCGACGGGUAGCCGGCCUGAGAGGGUGACCGGCCACAAUGGGACUAAGGUAGGGACCAGACUGCUACGUGAGGCAGCAGGGGAGAAUAUUGCGCAAUAGGCGGAAGCCUGGUGCAACGAUGUCGCGUGCGGGAUGACGGCCUUCUGGGUGUAAACCGCUUUCGCCUGUAACGAAGCGUGAGUGACGGUAACGGGUAAGGAAGCACCGGCUAACUACGUG